rnacentral:rRNA from 1 species
UACGGAGGGUGCAAGCGUUAUCCGGAUUCACUGGGUUUAAAGGGUGCGUAGGUGGGCUUGUAAGUCAGCGGUGAAAUCUCCGGGCUUAACCCGGAAACUGCCAUUGAUACUAUAAGUCUUGAAUUAUCUGGAGGUAAGCGGAAUAUGUCAUGUAGCGGUGAAAUGCUUAGACAUGACAUAGAACACCAAUUGCGAAGGCAGCUUACUACGGAUACAUUGACACUGAGGCACGAAAGCGUGGGGAUCAAACAGG